CUCAUAGUCGUAUCGAGUG
rnacentral:sRNA from 1 species